rnacentral:rRNA from 1 species
UCCCCUACGGGGCGCAGCAGUGGGGAAUAUUGCGCAAUGGGGGCAACCCUGACGCAGCCAUGCCGCGUGAAUGAAGAAGGCCUUCGGGUUGUAAAGUUCUUUCGGGGACGAGGAAGGUUGUUGUGUUAAUAGCGCAACAAAUUGACGUUAAUCACAGAAGAAGCACCGGCUAACUCCGUGCCAGCAGCCGCGGUAAUACGGAGGGUGCGAGCGUUAAUCGGAAUAACUGGGCGUAAAGGGCACGCAGGCG